UGGAGGUAUCAGAAGUGCGAAUGCUGACAUGAGUAACGACAAGAACGGUGAAAAACCGUUCCGCCGUAAGCCCAAGGGUUCCAGCGCAACGAUAUUCGGCGCUGGGUGAGUCGGAUCCUAAGGCGAGGCCGAGAGGCGUAGUCGAUGGAAAACGGGUUAAUAUUCCCGUACUUGCGAUUGCUGCGAUGGGGUGACGGAGAAAGUUAGGGUGGCUUCCUGUUGGAUGGGAGUUCAAGCGUUUAGGCAGGUCUCUUAGGCAAAUCCGGGAGAUCAAUGCUGAGGCGUGACGUCGAGGCUCAAUUGAGCCGGAGCACCUGAUACUCAGCUUCCAAGAAAAGCCUCUAAGCUUCAGGCAGUCGUGAUCCGUACCCCAAACCGACACAGGUGGGCGAGGAGAGUAUCCUAAGGCGUUUGAGACAACUCGGAUGAAGGAACUCGGCAAAUUGGUGCCGUAACUUCGGGAGAAGGCACGCCCACGCAAGUGGGCCGCAGUGAAGAGGGAGUGGCAACUGUUUAUCAAAAACACAGGACUCUGCAAACACGAAAGUGGACGUAUAGGGUCUGACACCUGCCCGGUGCUGGAAGGUUAAUUGAUGGGGUCAACCGCAAGGUGAAGCUCUUGAUCGAAGCCCCAGUAAACGGCGGCCGUAACUAUAACGGUCCUAAGGUAGCGAAAUUCCUUGUCGGGUAAGUUCCGACCUGCACGAAUGGUGUAAUGAUCGCUCCACUGUCUCCAUCCGAGGCUCAGUGAAAUUGAAAUCGCCGUGACGAUGCGGUGUUCCCGCGGCAAGACGGAAAGACCCCGUGAACCUUUACUACAACUUUGCACUGGAAUUUGAGUUUGUUUGUGUAGGAUAGGUGGGAGCCUUUGAAGCCCAGGCGCUAGCUUGAGUGGAGGCAACCUUGAAAUACCACCCUGAUAAACUUGAAUUUCUAACCUAGGCCCGUUAUCCGGGUCAGGGACAUUGCAUGGCGGGUAGUUUGACUGGGGCGGUCUCCUCCCAAAGAGUAACGGAG
rnacentral:rRNA from 1 species